UACCCCUUGGUAAAAAUUCGCCGUAAAGAGCAGGGUUUAGUAGCAAGUCGAAAGACCUUGAGGCUAAUAAGAAA
rfam:Bacillus krulwichiae strain AM31D, complete genome.